GUCUAAAAUAUAAUUCCCCUUCACGUUAUCAAGAUUUUAAUUACUUUCCACAUAAAAGCUGUAACAAGCUGAAUGUAAUGUAAAUAUAGUUAUAACUACAUUCUAGGAUCAUACUCCCAUAUAUUAUACAAACAAGAAACAAGAUUUUUGAACUUAAAUACAUAAAAAACCGUCACAUACAUUUAAAAUAUCAAUUACAUUAAAUUAAAUUUAAAUUACUAUAAAUAAUUAAUAUGACCACGAGUUCGUGUUGUCGAACAGACAGACAGUAUUGAGUUUUGCGUUGAUACUAUCACGGGAAGUAUCAGAAAAUAUUCGAGACGACAUAAUAAUAGGAACAUAUAAAAUUAAUAUUUAAUAUAACAUAAGUUUUGUAGAAAUAGAUUCAGCAAUUUUUUUAUGCGAGUCACAAUCUUUAUCACUGAUGAGAUCUAAGAUUUUCGCGAGUUUUAUUCAUUUAAAUGAAACUAGUGUUAUUCGGAAAUACUACGCUGAUUUUAUUAUUUAAAAACUACAUAAUCCCGACGUUUCGGUUACUUUGCAGCAACCGUGAUCACGGGCAGAGAAACGUCGGGAUUAUGUAGUUUUUUAAAUAAAAAAUCCGCGCAGUAUAUCCGAAUAAUACUAGUUUCAUUUAAAUCUUUAUCACUGAUUUAAUGUGAUUUUUGUUAUUAAAAAUUUUCAUGCAUUUAAUUAAAAACUUUGCAUUCGUUUUUCCGUUAGUCAAAACAUGUCCAUCUACAUCGUAUUAUUAAUAAUGUCAAUUGUCAUCGGAUGUCACACAGAUAAAAGUCACCGAGCCAAAGCUAAGAGUCUUUUGAAAAACCAACCGAAAGGAGACUACAGGCAUGAGAAAGUCGACCUGAGAUUCGACUUAGAAGACAUAUCCAUAAAAUAUAAUAUAUAGAUUCAACGUAA